AAUAUAGUGACCGAGUUAAGGUGUUAGUCUCUUAAAUUAAUUAUGAGAUAUAUAGUUAAGUUA
rnacentral:tRNA from 1 species